AUGUCCCCAAACCCCCAAACCACCCAAAAAACCCCAAAUCUCCCCCCAAAAAAACCCAAACCCCCCAAAUCUCACCUGGUCCUGCGUCCCAGCGAUGUCCCCGAUGUCCCCAAAACCCCAAAUCUCCCCCAGAAACCCCCAAAAAAUCCCAUAAAACCUCCAAAAUCCCCAAAUCUCACCUGGUCCUGCCGUACCAGUGAUGUCCCCGAUGUCCCCAAAACCCCCAAAAAUCCCCAAAAAAAACCCAAAUCUCACCUGGUCCUGCCGUCCCAGCGAUGUCCCCAUUUCCCCAAAACCCCAAAUCUCUCCCAGAAACCCCCAAAAAAUCCCCAAAAAACUCCAAAAACCCCAAAUCUCACCUGGUCCUGCCGGUCCCGCGGCGUCCCCGCGCUGUCCCGGUGCUGUCCCCGGUGCUGUCCCCGGUGUCCCCGGUGUCCCCUCCCGUGUCCCCUCCCGUGUCCCCCGCCGUGUCCCCGCUGUCCCCAUGUCCCCAAAACCCCCAAAAAUCCCAAAAAAACUCCAAAAAUCCCCAAAUGUCACCUGGUCCUGCCGGUCCUGCGGCGUCCCCGCGGUGUCCCGGUGCUGUCCCCUGUCCUGUCCCCGCUGUCCCCUCCCGUGUCCCCUCCCGUGUCCCCCGCCAGCCUCCGCGCGAUCCGCGCCUCCACCGCCAGCGCCACCGCGGUGCGGACGCGGCCCGGGGCGCAGGGACGGCGACACUGGGGACAGCGGGGCCAGCCCGGGGGGGACGCUGGGGACACCGGGGACAGCCCGGGGGACAUUGGGGACACUGUUGGGGACAGCGGGGGCAGGAGGCAGCGGCGGCAGCAGCGGUGCUCGCACGGCAGCAGCACCGGGUCCCGCAGCGCGGCCCCGCAGCGCGGACACGACGUGGCGGCGGCCAAAGCGGCCAAAGGACCGCGGGACGCGGCGGGAGGCGACAUCGGGGACAGGGGGGCAGAGAGGGGACAGAGAGAGGGGACACAGAGAGGGGACAGCGGGACAGAGGGGAGGGCGCGGGGCUGGCACCGCCGGGGACAGGCGGGGACAGGGGAGGGGACAGGAGGGACACAAACAAACACGGGACACGAGGGUGCCACGGGGGUGCCACGGGGGUGA
rnacentral:lncRNA from 1 species